rnacentral:pre_miRNA from 1 species
CGUGCACCAGUGGGGUCCCUCGGCCCCAGAUUGCUAAAGGGAGCAGGCCAGGCCAAGGGACCCCACAGGUGCACA